rnacentral:lncRNA from 1 species
CUGCUUCAGAUCUCACAGCAGAAUAUUUUGUUCCACCACGGCUACUACUCACAUUUCCAAGAUUACGAGGUGGUGUACCCCUCGUGGUAUUGUUGCUGGGUCAAACAUUCUAAACUUUUUCUUUCUCAGAUAUUUCUGGGCAAUUACGAAUAAAAUAGUUAUAUGAACCACAUUUGAAACACACCCCAUCUUUCACCUUGCACUUG